GUUGAAAUAGCUCAGUUGGUAGAGCGAAGGACUGAAGAUCCUUAGGCCAUCAGUUCGAUUCUGAUUUUCAACA
rnacentral:tRNA from 1 species